AGACAAGGUUGUGAUGACCUGUGUUUGGCUAUGCUGUGUUAUGGCUGUGAUGGGAAUUGGUCACAUGCUGUGCUGAGGAGGAGCUGUGUUUAAUUGCCCAGGGCUAGGUUGAACUGAUGCUUUGCUUGGCUGUGUUCAGUUGUGCUGAGUUUGACUCUGAGGAGAGCCGUGCCUGUGGAGAGCUGUUUCUUGUUUUGGGACUUUCUCUGGUUGUUCACUGAAAAAUAUGUUCAGCUGAUGAGAUUAGUGCUGUUACCAGAUCCAUCGGUUUGUCCUCCUCUCCUCUGCUCUCCUCUCCUCUCAUUCACCUCUCCUCUACUAUUUCCUACUCCCAGUCACCCCUCACCACCAAAACACCCCCCCCCCCCCACACACACACACACUGCUCAUUUCAUAUAAACUCCUGCAUGUCACUGCAGUGGGCUGGUGGAGUGAGUGUGUGAGCGAGAGAUUGUAUUCCCACAGAGAGCUGAAGAGCGGGAGCGAGAGACUGGCGGAGGCAAUGUCUGCGGGCAGCAGUCAGGGAACACGCUUGAGUGUGUGUACAGAGUAAGACGUGCGUGUGUGUGUGUGUGUGCAAGCGUAGUAGACAGAGCUGUGCUGUGCCAUAUGUUGUGCCUGCCUCUCGUUUUCUCACUCUCUCGCUCUCGGAUGAUGAAGGCUAGGUGGCUGGGUGCGAUGGGGAUGCUCUAAGAAACAGCUCUCGUGCAUACUCAGGCAGGAAGAGCUCGGCAGCUCACAGCAGCGUGGCAGAGAUACACACGCACCCACACGCUGCUUCUGUAACGUGACCGAUGACAGAACACACUCAGCAGACGCCGUGCGCUCUCAGCGCCGAGCCAAGCUCCACGGACAGGUGAAAAACCUAAACCUAAACUCCUGGAGAUGUUCCUCAGGAGCGCUCGUGGAUUCUCGGUGACUCUCUGUCUGCUGCUACUCCUUUCACUUCCUCAUCCCUCCUUCCAGGGCAGGAUUAAGGGCAGAUGGAACAAGGGGGGUAAGUCAUUAUCUUUAAAUUUAAAUGUGUGUUUCGUGAUUGCAUCUGAAUCCAUAUUAGCCGGUUAGCACCAACACGGAGUCGCUGUAAAGCCCAGCACUGCUCUUUUAGCAGCUGGCUUGAUUUAUCCAGUACAGAUUCCCCGUGCUGGUCAAUACUAACGCUCACUCUAGCUCGUCUGUGUGUCUCCGGUAGAGGAGCUGGAAUAUCAGGGAUGGUUGUUGGCUGGAUUCGGCGAGUUAAAUGAGCAAUUUGAGAUGCAGGCCAGAACCUGGACGAGUAAUGAGAGCGUAAUGACAUUUGGGACUGGCUGUGUUUGGGGUAAUGUGGCUAAGCGAUGCACAGAGGGGAGCUUUGAUGACCUGAUAGAUGUGGAUUACUGAUUAAAC
ensembl:lncRNA